rnacentral:rRNA from 1 species
UACGUAGGGUGCAAGCGUUAAUCGGAAUUACUGGGCGUAAAGCGUGCGCAGGCGGUUAUGUAAGACAGAUGUGAAAUGCCCGGGCUUAACCUGGGAACUGCAUUUGUGACUGCAUGGCUAGAGUUUGGCAGAGGGGGGUAGAAUUCCACGUGUAGCAGUGAAAUGCGUAGAUAUGUGGAGGAACACCGAUGGCGAAGGCAGCCCCCUGGGUCAAGGCUGACGCUCAUGCACGAAAGCGUGGGGAGCAAACAGG